UAACAUCCGGAAACGGGUGCUAAUACCGCAUAGUUUCUUGAUCGCAUGAUCGGGAAAGGAAGGACGGCCUUUGUGCUGUCGCUUAUGGAUGGACCCGCGGCGUAUUAGUUAGUUGGUGAGGUAACGGCUCACCAAGACGAUGAUACGUAGCCGACCUGAGAGGGUGAUCGGCCACAUUGGGACUGAGACACGGCCCAAACUCCUACGGGAGGCAGCAGUAGGGAAUCUUCCGCAAUGGACGAAAGUCUGACGGAGCAACGCCGCGUGAGUGAAGAAAGGUUUUCGGAUCGUAAAACUCUGUUGUCAGAGAAGAACAAGUUGGAGAGUAACUGCUCCAGCCUUGACGGUAUCUGACCAGAAAGCCACGGCUAACUACGUGCCAGCCGCAGC
rnacentral:rRNA from 1 species